GGAGGGUGCAAGCGUUGUCCGGAAUCAUUGGGCGUAAAGAGUUCGUAGGUGGUAUGUUAAGUCUGGUGUUAAAUCCUGAGGCUCAACCUCAGUUCGGCACUGGAUACUGGCAAACUUGAAUGCGGUAGAGGUAAAGGGAAUUCCUGGUGUAGCGGUGAAAUGCGUAGAUAUCAGGAGGAACAUCGGUGGCGUAAGCGCUUUACUGGGCCGUAAUUGACACUGAGGAACGAAAGCCGGGGUAGC
rnacentral:rRNA from 1 species